rnacentral:rRNA from 1 species
GUUAACAGCGGGCAGCGCGCCGCGGUACGACGGAGGUGCGGGGCGUUACGCGGAAUUGUUAGGCGGCAAGCGUGGGCAGGCGGCUCGUGAAGUCUCUUGUGAAAGCCCCGGGCGUAACCCCGGAAGGGUAAAGGAUACUGGCGGGCUUGGAUGUGGGAGAGGUCACUGGAAUUCCUGGUGUAGCGGUGAAAUGCGUAGAUAUCAGGAGGAACACCAAUGGCGAAGGCAGGUGACUGGACCACUAUCGACGCUCAUCCACGAAAGCUGGGGGAUCAAACAGGAUUAGAUACCCGAGUAGUC